rnacentral:lncRNA from 1 species
GGUGCCUCAUGCAAGGCCAGGCACCCAGAGGUGGUCAAUAAAUGUAACAUGUGGCCAGAUUCAGAACAGGUCAUUACUCUGGAAAACAAGCAAAACUAAACAGCCCUCCACGGAAAUAGCUGGCUGUGGCUUCAGGGAGCUACACUUCCAAAAGCAACUGAAAACCUCAGCAUCAAGCCAUGAAGCUCUGGAGGCCGCAGAACUCGCAAUGCAGCUCUAGGGUUCUGCAGGCCUCCUCAGGCGGACACGAUCAGUGCGUGCUGAGCACUCUGCGAGCUCCACACACUGUCCGCGUCACGGCACCGUCCUCAGGCGUCCAGAGUAACAGAACAUCCCUCUCGUGGUUGACGGGGAGAGGACUGGCCUGGGCGGUGUGA